rnacentral:rRNA from 1 species
UACGUAGGGUGCGAGCGUUAAUCGGAAUUACUGGGCGUAAAGGGUGCGCAGGCGGUCCUGCAAGUCAGGCGUGAAAUCCCCGGGCUUAACCUGGGAAUGGCACUUGAAACUACGGGACUGGAGUAUGGCAGAGGGAGGUGGAAUUCCACGUGUAGCGGUGAAAAUGCGUAGAGAUGUGGAGGAACACCGAUGGCGAAGGCAGCCUUCUGGGCCAACACUGACGCUCAUGCACGAAAGCGUGGGGAGCAAACAGG